GGCGCGUGAGCCGGGCCGCCGCUGCUCGCGCCCGGCGUGCGCGGUGUUUCGGCGCCGCGCAGCAGCGGCGGCCUCUUGGGGGGGCCCGGCGGCCGCCGGGGCGCGGGCAGGGGGCGGUCGGGGGAGGCGAGGUGGCCGCGUGGAUGAUGACGGGGCUGGUGGGCAGCCCGGUGGGUGCCGUCAUGCAGGAAAACUUCGGGUGCUCCGUCGCCAAUCGCUUCUGCCAGCUCCUGGACGACGAGUCGGACCCGUUCGACGUCCUGCGCGAGGCCGAGCGCCGCCAGCAGCAGAGGAAGAAGCGCGACGAGGCGGCGGCCGUCGCCCGGGGAGCCGUGCCCGGCGGCCGGGCGGGCGGCGGCAAGAGGGAGAGCCAGAAGGAGCGUAAGCAGCCGGAGAGCUCCCCUGCACCCUCCCCUGCGCCGCCGCCGCAGCCAGGCCCAAAGCGAGUACCCAAGCAGGGAGAACAACAAGGGUUCAGUAACAGAGGCGCAGAGGGGAAACAGGACAAAACUGAAUGGAGACCAUCUUUCAGGGAAUACCGUCCCUAUGGAGCACAAAGACAAGUGGAAUUUUCAGUGGAACGACCAGUGGAAAGAUUAGACUAUGAAAGACCAAUAAGAGGCCGUGGUGGGGGAAGAGGCAGAAUGAGAGGCAGAGGAAGAGGUGGUGGAUUAAAUGGAAGUUUUGAUGGGUUUGACCAAAGACGAAAACGAGAACCUGAAAGACAAAGUGGGAAUGAUAAAAUAGGUGUGAAAGCAGAUGACAAAAAGGGUGGAGGUGGAGCUCGCAACUGUAGAACAAUGAAAGAUGAUGUGAGUGGGAAGGGACGUACUGCAUCUAUGGAGGAGACCGUGGAAACUCCUGAACAGCCAGUGACAUCUGAAGGAGAGCCUCUGAGCAAAGCUGCUGAAGGAGAGCCAAUGGAAGAAGUGGUUCAAGAAAUGACAUUAGAUGAAUGGAAAAAUCUUCAGCAACGGAAUCGACCAAAGCCUGAAUUCAACAUCCGGAAGCCAGAAUCCACUGUUCCUUCCAAAGCAGUGGUGAUUCACAAGUCAAAAUACAGUGACGAUCUGCAAAAAGAAGACUUUGAAGAUAAUUCUCAUGUCUUUCGAAAACCAGUGAAUGAUAUAACUUCUCAGCUGGAUAUUAAUUUUGGGAGUCUUCCUCGCCCUGGCCGUGGAUCAAGAGGAACACGAGGUGGUCGUGGCAGAAGACCUCAAGAGACAGGACCUCGACCAGAAGUAGUGGUGCAGCUUGUUGCUCCAAAUCCUGAUGAUCUUGAGGAUUUUCCGGCAUUAGCUUGAAGACCCAUUGUGAAUGGUGGUAUCUCAAAGUCGCUCUGUUAACUAUGAAUGGACCAGUUCUAUGCUGGUGUGGAUUAAGGAAGCCACUUUCCCUCUGGAUAGUUGUUCAGGUGUUUGCUGAGGAAUGAUUGCAGCUGUCUGCUAAAAGAGCUUUAACAUACUUGAGCCAGAUUUUCUGUUCCCUGUCCAAGGGGACACUGAGAGCCAUUCUGGGGGAUAUGAGAGAAACAAGAAAUGGUGCCAGAGGUGAUGACAGAAAGAAAUGAGAGGACAUGCACACUGGACAUUUUGGAAGUAGCUGCCAGCCUCACAGGAGUCUUCAGAUGCCUGCUCAACUUGAACACAUUCUUUAAAUUUACUGGGAAAGCAGAUGACUAUAAACUUUUCACAUUUUCCAGUUCUGUGCCUCACUUCUAAGCAGUCUCCUUUGAGACUAAAUAGUGGAUGAAACUUAGAAGAAAAACUUUUUUUCUUUGGAGUAAGUUCUAAGAGUACUCACAAUCUUAAAGACUUUUCUCACUGAUAAGGCUUUACUCAAAUAGGAUGUAGUCAUACUACAAAGACUCUUUUCUAUAUGCUCCAAACAGAUGGUCUGCAGAGUAGUUCAGCCCAAAGG